rnacentral:ncRNA from 1 species
CAUGCCAGAAGAGGCGCGUCGCCCAGGCAGUGUGUUGGAGGAACCGAAUCCGCAGAUAACACAUCAAGGGGUGCGACGCCGAGGUACAAACCACGCGGGUGGUAAGUAUCGGCUACAGGGGCUGAAUCCCUUGGGUUGUCACCAGGAUCGGUUCAAUAGUUGGACGAUCCCUACCUGAUUCACCUGGGUCGCAGCACAACGUUGCCGCCCCGGGUGUUCGGGUCAACAAGGUGGGGCGCUUCUGGGUGA